rnacentral:rRNA from 1 species
UUGCUCAAUGGGAGAAAUCCUGAAGCAGCAACGCCGCGUGGAGGAUGAAGGGUCUAUGACUUGUAAACUCCUGUAAAGAAGGAAAAAAUUCCCAUUUGAUGGGAGAGGAUGGUACUUCUGGAGUAAGCCCCGGCUAACUACGUGCCAGCAGACGCGGUAAUACGUAGGGGGCAAGCGUUGUCCGGAUUUACUGGGUGUAACGGGUGCUCAGGCGGAUUUGUAAGUCAGAGGUGAAAUCUUACAGCUUAACUGUGAAACUGCCUUUGAUACUGCAAGCCUAGAGUAUGGAAGAGAGUGAUGGAAUAUCUGGUGUAGCAGUGAAAUGCGUAGAUAUCAGAUAGAACACCAAUGGCGAAGGCAGUCACUUGGUCCAUUACUGACGCUAAAGCACGAAAGC